rnacentral:rRNA from 1 species
UACGGAGGGUGCAAGCGCUAUCCGGAUUCACUGGGUUUAAAGGGUGCGUAGGCGGGUAAGUAAGUCCGUGGUGAAAUCUCUGAGCUUAACUCAGAAACUGCCGUGGAUACUAUUUGCCUUGAAUAUUGUGGAGGUGAGCGGAAUAUGUCAUGUAGCGGUGAAAUGCUUAGAUAUGACAUAGAACACCAAUUGCGAAGGCAGCUCACUACACAAUCAUUGACGCUGAGGCACGAAAGCGUGGGGAUCAAACAGG